rnacentral:lncRNA from 1 species
GCACGCCCCUGCUCCACUACACUUUGUCUUCCACGGUCAACUCCCUCAGAAGUCUUCAACUGGUGCAACUUGGUUGACUCCCUACUGCCAGCGAACUGCCUCCAUCCGUGUCUCCCCUCCGUCUCCGCCAACUUCGCUCGCGAGGCCCACCGAGUGCAGCUUCCACCGAAUGAGAUCUCCCCGCCAGCAGCUGCUUCGUGCGUCCAGUGAAGUCUCCACGCGUCCUGGUCAACCGAAGCUGCUUCUUGACAUUUGUUGACCACACGCCCACGGAAGAAGAAGCCCCACGUGUUCAGUCAAAGCCGCAAGACCCAGCUUGCCGUUUGUUGAUUGAAGUUCAUCACUACUCCGUGCGUCCAGCGAAGCCACCGUCCACCGAAAUCCCACCAUCGUUCCUCUCUCUUCUGCCACGAAUCAAACCCCACCGAGAUUCCAUCCUGUUGACUACAGAAGCCUCAUCAUCCGAAGACCAAAGCGGUUCGUCCGCUUCUUCCACGCAGGCCACGAAGUUCUGCCCAGUAGCGAUAAAACGCUGCAGCUUCUUGGUCAGAUUGUUGACUGCAAUUCCCACGCUUGAUUUACCACGACGCUACCUGGCCCAACGUCUGCGAGCAGCUUCGUCUUCGCUGCUUCGUGCGUCUCCAGCCACGCCAUCCAGAGAAGCCAAGAUUUUCGCAACAUCAGUUUGGCCCAAGUUCAAGCCCAGUUCAGUUCUGUUUUAGUCUUGAAGCCCAGCAAGUUUUAGUUUCAGCUUUGGGCCAUGUCUUCAGUCCAGCACUUUCAGCAAUUCGGGCCCAGCAAGAUUCAGUCCAAAUGAAGGCCAUUUCAAGCCCGCAAGAGUCCAACAGCCCAGUCUUUUUCAAGGCCCAGUUUCCAGCAAUCAAUUGAAGUCCAGCCCACCAAUUUGAAGCUCAAGUAAAUUCAGUCCAGAAAUUUCAGCAGGCCCAAUUCAACUUGGGUCUAGCCCAAAAGCAAGAACAAAUCUCAAUUGGGCUGAGAUUUGUUGGGCCUAAGCUUAAGGCCCAGUCCAAGUCUGCCGGUGUUGUCGAAAGUCCGAUUUCGGCCGCCGUCGCGUCGCCGUUGCGGUGAUUCGAUCUCCGUUUUUAAUCAAGUGAGUUUUACUCACUAAUGCUUUAUUAGUUUGCUAAUUAUGCCUUAGGGUUGGUUAGAUUUAAUUACAUGCACUUAGGUGGUUAGAUUAGGUUAGAACAAUUAAUUUAGUGACUUAAUGAUGCAUGUUAGGUGGUUAGACCUAGCUAUUAGCAAGUAGAAAUGUUUGGUUAUUUAUUGAAUGUAUCUCGGGAUUUUUCUCGACCCGUUUCGGGCUCCAAUCAGGCAAUACGGGCCUAGAUUGGAUUUUUAGUAUUUAUUUAUUUAUUUAUCAAAAUUAAUUAUUUAAUUAAUUAUUUUUCCGGAAAUUCAACCGGGAUGGCUAGUGACCAGAAUUUUGUGCUGAUUGUCGUGGUGCAGACCGUUUAUUUAUUUGAGCUCUAUGUUGUGUGGAAUUGAAUUUAUUGUGGAAUUUUAGGAAUUGUCCUAAAUUGUUUGUUAUUGAAUAUUUGAUUGGUAAUGGUCAAGCAUAGAUAUAUAGCGCCAGUACGUUGAUGGGCUAUAUAGUAGGGAGAAUGGUGAGACCAAUCAGGUACGAUAUUAUUGGACAUACGUGGUUCGGUGAUUGGAAGUAUCACUGGCGAAAACGGCGCCUUAAAGAACGCACGUAAAUGACUUAUAGACAAACGUGGUUCGGUGGUUAUGGGAAUAUCACUGGUGAAAACGGCGCCUUAAAGAACGCACGAUGUUGUCUAUAGCCGAUGUCACCUUGGCGAAAACGGCGCCCUUGAAAGGACACAUGGUUCGGUGAUCAAGGUUAUCACUGGUGAAAACGGCGCCUUAAAGAACGCACGGUGUCGGUGAUCGGUAUGUCAUUGGCGAAAACGACGCCCGAGAAACACAUGUGAUUUGGUGAAUGAGUACACCACUGGAAAUUCAUGGUAUGAGUGGGAAUGACCUAGAAAGGGUCUGGCUGACAUGUAAUCGACUUAGUCGAUUGAUCAAUGCUUGAUCAGAUGUCGUGAAUUGUUUGAAUAUCUAUGUUUAACCUUGAAUUGCAGGUUGGAACUGAGGCCAAGGUAAGUCCUCUGACUCGUGUUGUGCUUAGGCAACCGUAUGGUGUAUUAGUUUACUAAUCGAGUCGUAGGGGGUAGGACUCGCUGAGACGUGGUCUCAUUGGUUAUUGAAUAACCAUUUCAGGACCCUGAGGAAAAGCUGAGGAGAAAGAACCUGAAGGGGAGAAAGCAUUUUGAAGUAGAAGAUGAUCCAAAGAGGGAUCUUGAAUAUAACCCGGAUGUGGACUGAGAUCCCAUCCCUUUUGUAAACCCUGUCUCAGUAUAGAUAGGUGUGAGACAAGUAUGCUGUAAAUAGUAUUGUAAAUAUACUAUGAGUGGUGAUGUUAAUGAAAGUGUG